rnacentral:tRNA from 37 species
AGUCCCAUAGCUCAGUGGAAGAGCGUUCCGUUCACACCGGAAAGGUCGCUGGUUCGAACCCAGUUGGGACUACCA